rnacentral:rRNA from 1 species
GGACGUCGAGCUCGACAGGUGUUGCAUGGCUGUCGUCAGCUCGUGUCGUGAGAUGUUGGGUUAAGUCCCGCAACGAGCGCAACCCUCAUCCUUAGUUACCAUCAGGUAAUGCUGGGGACUUUAAGGAAACUGCCAGUGAUAAACUGGAGGAAGGUGGGGAUGAUGUCAAGUCAUCAUGGCCCUUAUGGAGUGGGCUACACACGUGCUACAAUGGUGGCUACAAUGGGCUGCAAAGUCGCGAGGCUAAGCUAAUCCCUUAAAAGCCAUCUCAGUUCGGAUUGUACUCUGCAACUCGAGUGCAUGAAGUUGGAAUCGCUAGUAAUCGUGGAUCAGCACGCCACGGUGAAUACGUUCUCGGGUCUUGUACACACUGCCCGUCACGCCAUGGGAAUUGGUUUACUUGGUAGCUAAAAA